rnacentral:rRNA from 1 species
UACGGGGGAUGCGAGCGUUAUCCGGAUUUAUUGGGUUUAAAGGGUGCGUAGGCGGAGUGUCAAGUCAGCGGUAAAAUUUCGGGGCUCAACCCCGUCGAGCCGUUGAAACUGGCAGACUUGAGUUGGCGAGAAGUACGCGGAAUGCGCGGUGUAGCGGUGAAAUGCAUAGAUAUCGCGCAGAACUCCGAUUGCGAAGGCAGCGUACCGGCGCCAGACUGACGCUGAGGCACGAAAGCGUGGGUAGCAAACAGG